GAAGUUGUCGCAUAUUAGGACAGAGAAUUUCUACUAACUUUAAUCGAUUAUUGCUACGUAGCAGAGUGGAACCGUACUAUGGAGUUUCGUUGUAACUAAACUAUGUCACAAAAGAUGAACUGGCUACAGGAGACGCAAACAGAAAAACGAUAACUAUCCUAUGGAAUGCUUAACAAAUAGAAACUGGAACCUGAAAAGCAACUUGGUCCAAACAGUAUCCAACACUCAUGAAACUAAUAUCAAUCAAUAUCGAAUAAAUACAAAUCAUCGUACGAAAAGCUUAAUAAAUAAGAAUUGUAACCUGGAAAGCGUAAGAACUUGCUAUGAAUAUGUAACAUAAUUGUUUAACAACGUCUAUACAUAAUACAAGUAUGCGUAUUAUAUGCACGAAAAGAAUAUUAACCACUUUUUAAAAACAACAUAAAAUCAUAUUUUUUAUUCCAACAUAUUUAAACCUUAGAUUUGAAAAACGUCCGAUACCUUGACGAUCAUCAUAGCGUUGCGAAUUCCAUUUUUUAUCAUAUCAAAGAUCAUUAAAAUGGGAUGCAAUAAAAAAAAAAAAAAAAAAAUAUUCAAACGUAUGUGUCUCUACGAAAAUACCUCAACCCCUGUUUCUAUUGAUCAAAGAACCGCGUUGAAUAUUCUAUUUAAAGCGUUCGUGUAACUGCCCUUCGUAAUUACACGAACGCACGUAACCGCAUCCGCAUUAAAGCCAGAAAUUGCUGCCGUUUUUCCUCGCGAAAAAUAAUCCUUGGAUAUCCGCAACGUUUUCACCCCCUUGGUUCGAAAGCGUGUCGACGUUAUAGACCGACCCAGUUCCGCUUCUUCCCUUCUGUUUCGAAAAAUCGUGUCCCUACCCUGUGAACGCGUGUGUGCCAGCUUAUCUUCGGCGACGGCGCGGCGGAGAGACGCGUUCACGUUGAAAGUUCGCGGCUGUUUGCGUUGCAAGAAGGUUGAUCACGUUACCAGCUCACGUGUCGCUAUCUGGGUCAAUAUGCCCCAAUGAUAUUAAGCCAUUCGCGACACGCGAGUUUCGCAAUUGGGCGGUUCGUCUCAUCUCCGAUUCGUUUCCUUUCCAGUCUCUCAGCAACGAUUCAUCACGUAGAAAUGCAAAUAAUCGCAGCUUCCCAUUGAUUAAUCAGUCUGCUUUGGUAGUGUGUAAUUAAGAGAGAAGCUGCUUGUGUUUCUUUCAUUUAAUUACCUUUUUAUAUUCCUCUUGGAGAAAUUCCUUAUCUCGUCCUUAUCUGAGUUUAUUCGAGAAGCUUUUAAACUGUAGAAAAAUAGAGAAUUAGAUAAAUUGUAGUCUCAAAAGUGUGGAAUUAUUAGCUCGUUGGAACGAUUGGUCAAAGUUAUAGUUCACGAUGGUAGGAGAUACCGAAGCGGCUCAAAGUGUCUAGUAGCCAGGCAAUUUUACGAAACGACGUUCGGAAUAUUCUACAAUAAACAAGAAAAAGAGUUUAAAAUCGUAAUGGUGUAAGUCAAGACUUGGGGAAUUUAGAUUUAAUCACGUAUCGACGGUAAUAACUCUUAAUUUCAUAAUUAAUUAGGUCGUAACUCAAUUCUUAGUCACGAUACGUUUUUAUGGCUUAAAAGAAUACAAUGAAUUUUUUAUACUAACGAAACAUAAUGAAUUUGUUCUAUUGAUAAGACAAAACGUUAUUUCGUAAGAAAUAUUAUAUUAUUUUAUAAAAAAUGACAGUGUAAUUCUCAGUCCAUUAAUUGUAAUCGUAAUUGUUCUUCAGAAUCUUCCGUUAGCUGACCAUUGAACGACUAUAACUUUAAUAGCUAACGCUAAAGAAAGUAUCAAGAGGUAGUUUCGUAAACUGAUUUCGGCAAAAUGGUUGCGUGCAGCUCGUUAAGAAACGAUUAGUCAGUUCGGGGAACGAUAACUGAUCGAUAAUUUCGCGGCCCGUUGUUCGACCAGAAUAACGACGUCCGAUCGGAUUUAUAAAUAAUCGCGCGUGAUGGCCGAUUAAGUAAUUACGAAUAUCGAUAUCUCGCGGUUGCCAGGCAGAACGAAGGCAGUACUGGUACCAGUGUUCACCAGCCAAGUAUCGAUUAUCCUCUCUGUCUCUCUUUCUCUUUAAGCUUCUUCCGACCCCGAAUGAAGUUCAUAGAGACAUGGGCGUUGUUCAUAGAUCUUACGGAUUCGAAUGCACUGUGGAAUACAUAGCGACUUUAUCUUUUUGGACGGUGAUGCAUCGUAUCUAAAUAUAUGAUUCAGAAUGUGUAGAAAUAUUGGAGAUAUAAGAAUAUGGAAAUAUAGCGUUAGAGAAUUAGAACUUAUACAGGAACAUAAUGAUUUGAUACACCGUAGACGCGAAUAUUAAUAUUACAAUGUGUUAUAGUACCGCACGAAAUUCUACCAAGCGACUUUCUAAUUUGUCCAAGACGACUCGCCUCGUUUCAAACGUGGAUUUCUGUAGCUCUCAUCGCCAAAAUCGUGUUUCGAGUAUGGCUGCCAACUGGUUACGCAGGAAAAUCGCGAACGUGGAAAUUAAUUCUAUCCAAAAUAUCGCGAAACUUUGUACGUUGAAGUGUUAAACUAAAUCUUAACUAUAAGAAAAAAUAAUACGCAAUUACAUCCAAAUUCUCGACUUGCGUCGCUAUGAUUUUUCACCAUGCCACAUCUCAUUCCUGCAUUUAGUACCGAGGGAAAAACCAAAAUAAAACGAAACCAAAAAAGCAGAAACUGCGCAAUCGAGGAAAUUUACACGUUCAAAGAACUCAAGUUCUCUUUAUCUUGGCGCCUGCCAAGAGAUCAGAAUUCUACAAAGUUUGCCACGCAAUUUACUCUUUUUACCAGCUUUUAGCUCCCAGAUAUCGCUUGCUUUGGUCAAUUCAAAGGUUAUCGAGUGCUCAUAAGAAAUCGUCGUGAUAUCUUGUCAGUAUGAUUUUUAUCCAAAUCGAAGAUCUCGAUCCUUCUUCUAAAUUCACGUUAAAUCCACGAUUCUACUUUAAUUCGUGAUAUUCGUUGAAAUUCCAAUUUAUUUCCCCUGAGCUCUUAAUCAGGAAAGUUGACUUAAUUCACCAAUUUCUUGAUUUAUUUACGCGUACUCCGUUAUUUAAUGUGUCGUUCUAUUUCUGUUAAAAAUAAAUUGUAUCAUAUUCAUAUUUCAAGAACGAACGUUGGUUUCUUUCCUUCAAUCGUCGUCGCAGAAGAGAAUUUGGUCAACAGAUUAACAACGACCGUGAUUUGUCCGAAUAUUUCGACAUCUGUUUAUAAUAUCUGAGAAAAUGAAUCUAAAAAUUGGAAUUACAUAGGCCAUUAUGUUAGCCACGUCAACCGUCUCGACGAUAUUUCUGAUGGUUUUCGCGUGUUAUCGAAAUUAUCAGUCGAAGCUUGAUCGAUGAUCGAAACCUUCGAUACCAGAAAGUUACAAAUCGUUACGUAGGUUGGUGUCUAUGGUUAUUCGAGACAUUGAUAGCCGAAGUGAACUAGUCUCAAUGCUCGACAAACUGAGUAAUUCGCCGACUAAAAUAAACGUGAACACAAAAUAUUCAGUUGCAGAGAAAUCAGUGUGAUUUCGGCACGUUAUCCGGAUUUAAUUUGGAAAAAAUUAAUUCCUCCACUUUCGAUCCUACCAAUUUCACAUUGAGAAAAAAUUUUCGCCCAGCCACAUUACUUUUACUCUCACUGUACUCACUUCGAACUCACGAUUUCUCAUAGCUAUCGUACAUUAUUUUGUACCAGUACGUUCGUUCACCUUUCUGAUUCGUAUGUUAUUGGCCCCAUAAAAUGGCAUUGAAAGUUUUAUGUCGCUCAUAAACCUUCUCUAUCUUAUAUACACGGUGUUUCAGUUUCGGUAUAUCGGAUUAAACGAUUUGAAAGAUAUAAAAAUUUUGCUGAGAAAGUUUGAUAGACAAAAGUACAUUUCGUUUUUAACGUUAGACAAGAACAACGAACGUUAGGUGUAAAAUUAAUAUUUAUGUUGCUAUCGGCGUAACAGGUGAUUAGCGUAACAUGGCUCUCGUUAAAAUUUAGUUUAAGACCAACAUAUUUCAAUUUACUAAUUAUAGUGCACAGGAUGAU